UAUGGCCACAUCAUUUUGAAACAUUGGUUCCCAUAUAAUUAUCAAAGUUAAGUAACGUCGAGCCUGGUCAGUACUUAGGUGGGUGACCGCUCAGGAAUACCAGGUGCUGUAA